rnacentral:rRNA from 1 species
GACGAACGCUGGCGGCGUGCUUAACACAUGCAAGUCGAACGGUAAGGCCCUUCGGGGUACACGAGUGGCGAACGGGUGAGUAACACGUGGGUGAUCUGCCCUGCACUUCGGGAUAAGCCUGGGAAACUGGGUCUAAUACCGGAUAGGACUCCUGGCUUCAUGGUUGGGGGUGUAAAGCUUUUGCGGUGUGGGAUGGGCCCGCGGCCUAUCAGCUUGUUGGUGGGGUAAUGGCCUACCAAGGCGACGACGGGUAGCCGGCCUGAGAGGGUGACCGGCCACACUGGGACUGAGAUACGGCCCAGACUCCUACGGGAGGCAGCAGUGGGGAAUAUUGCACAAUGGGCGCAAGCCUGAUGCAGCGACGCCGCGUGAGGGAUGACGGCCUCGGGUUGGUAAACCUCUUUCAAUAGGGACGAAGCGCAAGUGACGGUACCUAUAGAAGAA